rnacentral:rRNA from 1 species
CCUACGGGAGGCAGCAGUGGGGAAUAUUGGACAAUGGGCGCAAGCCUGAUCCAGCAAUGCCGCGUGAGUGAUGAAGGCCUUAGGGUUGUAAAGCUCUUUUACCAGGGAUGAUAAUGACAGUACCUGGAGAAUAAGCUCCGGCUAACUCCGUGCCAGCAGCCGCGGUAAUACGGAGGGAGCUAGCGUUGUUCGGAAUUACUGGGCGUAAAGCGUACGUAGGCGGUUAUUCAAGUCAGAGGUGAAAGCCCGGGGCUCAACCCCGGAACUGCCUUUGAAACUAGGUAGCUAGAAUCUUGGAGAGGUCAGUGGAAUUCCGAGUGUAGAGGUGAAAUUCGUAGAUAUUCGGAAGAACACCAGUGGCGAAGGCGACUGACUGGACAAGUAUUGACGCUGAGGUACGAAAGCGUGGGGAGCAAACAGGAUUAGAUACCCUGGUAGUCCACGCCGUAAACGAUGAUAACUAGCUGUCCGGUCACUUGGUGACUGGGUGGCGCAGCUAACGCAUUAAGUUAUCCGCCUGGGGAGUACGGUCGCAAGAUUAAAACUCAAAGAGAGUGGACGUGNGAGUGNGACGACGCGACGACGGAGGGAGGAG